ensembl:lncRNA
GCUGAUGUAACGUCAGAAGUUUGUAUUUUAGGGUCUAAUACCCUCUCAAAAUGAAAACUAGUUCAUUUUUACCCAAUCAGACAAUUAUACCGAGCAAGAGAACGCGGUCAAGUUCGGACACUAAAACCUUUCAACCACUUUUUCGAAUCCUCUGAUCCUAUUGGACUAAACCCACGAGGAAAUGAUCGACAUCUUCCUCAGCUACUCAGAAGCCAAAAUGGGUAGCGGCUUAGACGAGUGAGGAUUGGCUGAACUCCCGCCUCCUCCUCCGCACCUGAAACCUGCGCGGAAAGCUCUCAUACAGCGAGGCUGCACACUGCUCCCAAAGAAAACAUGUCGUUCAAAAAGUCAAAGGGCCGGACCGGUUUUCAAGGCGGCUUCACAUCUGGAGAAUCUGCAUCUGUUGACAGGCGAGUGGGAGAUGGAGCCAGGUGUUUGGCAGCAGCGGAGUGUUCAGGUGUAACUGUGCCGGUGACAGGACAUGACGAGCAGCCGCAGAUGAAGGAUGAGGCGUGGAGGAUUUUGGGGAGAGGGGCACCCCUCGACCUCCUCCCUCUAGAAUACCCCCGCUGGCGGAGGGGAGAGACGACGGAGUGCUUCAUAUGCAGGGAGGCUGAACUUCAAGCCCGUGACCCGCUGAGGCAUUUCUGCGACUGCAAGAAUUUACUUGCCCAUCACGUGUGUCUGUCCACGUGGAUCCUGAAGGGAUGCGAGAGCGGAAACCGGCUGCGCUGCAUUAUCUGCAAAGCCAAGUACCAGCUGCAGAGGACCUCUCCAUGGCGCUCGGUGAGCUCCCAGUGGCAGACGUGGCUGAUGCUGAUCACCGGCUUGGCUUUAAUGGGUCUGGUACCUUAUGUAGUUCACUGCAUGAUGACUGCCUUCACCAGGCCUCCUCCGCCCACCACCUUCAAAGUGGCAGCCGCUGCUUAUGGUCUGCUGGCAGAGAUCCUGCUGAUCAAGUGUCUGUGCAGCUACCUCAGCGGCUGUUACCGGCGGGCGGAGCAAAGCGCGUUCACGAUCCGGGCCAGAGGCCCCGAGGAGCACGGGACGAGCCUGGCCUGCUGAAAGCGGUCCGAGGCCUCAGCAGAGGCAGGCCGCGCUUCACCGGAGGGGGAAAGUGGACGAAAGGAAAGAGGGGACGUCUCGGCUUCUUCUGGACCAGUAACCAGGAAACGGGUUGAGAGUAAAUCCUGUGGAUGGUACCCACGGACAACAGCUUCGCCGUGGCAGUCACGAGAUCGAACACUUUAAAACCUAUUUUAGAGGCAAACACAUUCACAUUCCAUCGGUAUGUUUUUCACUUAUUGCAAAUUGACCAAAAAGAAGCUAAUGCAUGCAGCUUGCUCGAGUGUGCUUGAGGGAAAAGGGAAGCAAAACCGCCUGGAAUCACUCUCUUUCCUCAGCGAUGUCCACACAGAGACAAUGGGGCGCCGCUCUGAUUAGUGUCACCUGUCCUUGUGCAUCUCAUCAGCGCCGUAAUGGCUCCAUCUCCCGUGCUUCUGCAGCUAAUUGAAUGGCCUGUGAAGUGGUUUGACGAGGACGGGGCGAGAGCAACGUCUGUCCAGCUGCUACUUCAGAAACGAGUGAAGCUUCCCAGCGAAAGAUUACCGUAGUCCUUAAAACGUGAACCAUUGCCGCGGAGAUGGAGGAGGGGCCGACAAGUAGCCCUCCUGUUGUAGAAGCCUCAUUUUGUCCAUGGGUCACAGUAAUAAAUAAAAGCUUUUAUUUAGCACAUACUGUAUGUUUUUCAUGUGGGGGCAGGGGGUUAUUGUUAGAGUAACGAAAUUCCAGCGGCACAGAAACUCAGGUGGCGGCUUUUGAACACCUGCUGUCUCUCAGACACACGCCGUCGAGAAGGAACAAAAAGGGCUCUCGAUCUCUCGAGGUUCUACAACGAGCAGACAUGCAGGAUCGUAGAUCGGCUCAAUCUGGAACACGCAUGUAUCUUUGUGGGCAACAUCUUGGAGACAGUUUGGACCGAUCACUGUGCCACAUGCAACAUGUUAUUCCCCCUUUGGCUGGAUUAGUGACGCCGGCGAAACGGGUCAGCAGAGCCGCUCGUAGUGAGUGUGGUCUUGUAACGUGAGGCCUGUUGGAGUCUUACAUCGACGGCAUGAAGGGUCACCUCCUUUAUUAAAAGUUCCGUGAUAGAUGAGGCGUGGAAGACCGAAAAAUGGAGAUCAAAAGAGUUCUUCAUGUGGGAGGUAAAAAAGCCUUUUGCACCGUUGACAACGAACAGAGAAAAACCACAAAGAGAAAUAUAUCAUUGUUGUGACAACAGGGUAGAUGAGACCAGCACGGGGAAGCUAACGUGUACUAAUGGUGGUGGGAGGGUUGGGGGGGGGGAGAAUACUCUGUCAGUAACAGAGCGUCCUUUGCUAAUGAGCUAAAUGUUUAUUACAGUCGGUUUGACUCUGUGGGGCCAGUGUGGGCCAGUGUGAAGCCAGAAGAAGGCCACUGGCCCAGACGGACUACAGGCACAUGUCCUUAAAGACCCAAUUAAAAAGAGUCUUUACAAGGUUAUUCCAGUACUUGUUAAAAAGACGCACAGUGCCUAAAAUCAGGGGAUCAUUAUGUCCGUGCCCAUAAAGCCAAACGCGUGUGUACUGAAUGACCAGCUCCGCCCCAAGGAGAGCGUUCUAACUCCCUCUGCGCUGCAGAUGAUACUCUAGAUACGAGCUGUAUUACAUUUGUUCAGCUUCUACCUCUAUGCAGAGAGUCUCCAUCCGUGUAACAAUGUCCGGUCGCACAGGUACUCCUGGCGAUGCCCCCCCCCCCCCCCGCACGCACGAAUGAAUUCAAGGGUUUGUCUUCAGAUAUGCGGAUUUGGGACGUGGCCCAAACACUCCAAAGUAGCAAUUGAAGGUGGUCGAUGAGACUGCAGAUGUGAUCAUUUGGGCCGUUGGGAGUUUGAACGUUUCAGGGGUCUCGGCACGCUUGUGGACUCCCAGUUUCACGGAAAAUACAAAGUAUAUUUUGAAGAAAUCAGAAAACCCUGAUUGAAAACGUUUUAACAUUCCACUCGACUUGACUUGUGUCACCUGCACUGCAGGCUGAUGAACGAGCGAGCAGGACCGGUUGGCGUAGUGAGCGUUAUGAUUGAGAAGCCGAGUGAGCUGUGGACCCUCCGGGAGCGCAGAGAAAGCCCUCAUUUUCUGACAGCGCUUUAUUUUCUCCAGCAACCAAACAUCCCUUUUAAAAGGCCUUUUAUUCCAAGUGCAAUCAGCACUUUAAACAUUUCUUCUAGAUGUUAUUCGUCUGAUGUUCUUGUGUUUUGGUACGUCAGUUUCACUCUGUCAGCUCCCAACACCGUACCUCAUAGAGGUCACCGAUAUGCAGGUUUUUAUUUUGGGCGGUGGGACUAGUUUUGAAGAAUCUCAAUGUCUUUGUGCUUUUGGACUAUUUUCAGUUGUGAAUUAAUAGGCUUUUGGUGUUCUUAUUGAGUAUCAGGGGCAUCAGGAGAGCAUAUGAGGGAUUGACUAAUUACAAUCUGCAGUGCUUUUUUUUAUGGUAAGAAUCCACAUCCACUAGAAGAGUGGAUACAAAGAUAAACACACUAUUUAGGCCUUUUCGUGGGUUUGUUGAGUACAGCAGGCUUGUUAAAGGACACAUAUUCAUACUUUUGGAGAUCAGGGUCAAGACUUUUACCCUUUUCAUUAAAGGUCGACGCCUUCGAUUUCUCCUUGAGCCAAUUGUCCAUUGGAGUGCAAACACAAGCGAUCGGGCCACAUCUUCAAAACCCUUUGGUUAAUGGUCAUGUUUUUACUGCAUGCUUUCGGUUAUUGAGUUGUUCUGUGCAAAAUUAACGCUGAUAAAAAUAUCCUGAUGGAAUCAUCUGACUUCUUUGCCCCCAAGAGACAUAGAAAAGUGUUCUCCUCAAUGCAUAAUGUUAUCCUUCAAUGUACUGCAACAAAUGCUCCUCUAUAAAACAAUUGCAUGUAGAAUUAAAUAAAUGUCAGUAUGGAAAAACGGAGUCUGCCUCUCUAUCUGAUGUUUGCACUGAGUCAUCUUCUAUCUGUGUUUGGUCAAGCGACGGU